GCUCAGCCUUAAACUCAAGUAAUUCACAAACAAAAUUACUCGCCAGAGGACUACUAGCAAUAGCUUAAAACUCAAAGGACUUGGCGGUGCUUUAUAUCCUUCUAGAGGAGCCUGUUCUAUAAUCGAUAAACCCCGAUAAACCUCACCACCCCUUGCUAAUCCAGCUUAUAUACCGCCAUCUUCAGCAAACCCCAAAAGGGAAUUAUAGUAAGCAGAAACAUUUAACAUAAAAACGUUAGGUCAAGGUGUAGCUCAUGAGGUGGGAAGAAAUGGGCUACAUUUUCUAUCCUUAGAACAUAACGAAAGUCUCUAUGAAAUCAGUGACUAAAGGAGGAUUUAGUAGUAAGCCAAGAAUAGAGUGCUUGACUGAAUUAG
rnacentral:rRNA from 1 species